GCGGGUGUAGUACAAUGGUAGUAUGCGUGCUUCCCAAGCAUGAGACGCGAGUCCGAUUCUCGUCACCCGCU
rfam:Parcubacteria (Magasanikbacteria) bacterium GW2011_GWC2_37_14 TS42_C0009, whole genome shotgun sequence.